rnacentral:rRNA from 1 species
UACGAAGGGGGCUAGCGUUGUUCGGAUUUACUGGGCGUAAAGCGCGUGUAGGCGGGCCGUUAAGUUGGGGGUGAAAUCCCGGAGCUCAACUCCGGAACUGCCUCCAAAACUGGCGGCCUGGACUCAAGCAGAGGCAAGUGGAAUUGCGAGUGUAGAGGUGAAAUUCGUAGAUAUUCGCAGGAACACCAGUGGCGAAGGCGACUUGCUGGGCUUGUAGUGACGCUGAGACGCGAAAGCGUGGGGAGCAAACAGG